UACAGAGGUCUCAAGCGUUGUUCGGAUUUAUUGGGCGUAAAGAGCGUGUAGGCGGCCUGGAAGGUCAGCUGUGAAAACUCGAGGCUCAACCUCGAGACGUCGGUUGAAACCACCUGGCUAGAGUCCGGAAGAGGAGAGUGGAAUUCCCGGUGUAGCGGUGAAAUGCGCAGAUAUCGGGAAGAACACCCGUGGCGAAGGCGGCUCUCUGGGACGGUACUGACGCUGAGACGCGAAAGCGUGGGGAGCGAACAGG
rnacentral:rRNA from 1 species